AAUCUGCAUGAGACCUAGUCACGGACACCUGGUGCUGGGAAUCAAUCAAAGUCCCACCAGUCCCUCCAUCAGCCAAUCUCAAUAAUCGCCUGACUCCCACACUGCCCUCCCCUGCUGUAAUGCUGCGGCUGUUUGUGCUCGGGUCCUUCAUCACAACCCCGGUUGUAGCACCCACACUCGUCAACAGUUCUAGUUGUCAGGUUCUGCUCGGGUCCUUCAUCACAACCCUGGUUGCAGCAUCCACACCCGUCAACAGUUGAAGUCGUCCAUGUGUAGGUAGGUUCGUGCUCACCCAGUCCUGCAUCUUCUGUCUCCAUUUAAUUGCGUCGGACCUCUGUUUGUGUGACCUGAGGUUGUGAGAGGCGGAUGCCGGGAAAGAACCAAUAAGUUUGCCUUUCAUCGAUUUCAUUGCUGCGAUUCUUCCCACGUCCUCAGAGCACGUGCGGUCACGUGACCACACUAGUUAGUCUCCCGAGCGCUUGAAGACGUCUGUCAACAUGACGAGGUUUUGUCUGCGCUCCCUGAGCCUGGCCGUUCUCUGUCUGCUGAUCUGCAUUUCGGGUCAAAGAGCAAAGGGUCAGGACACGAACUCCACUGCAAGCAGCGAUCCAGCACCAAACAAUCAGACCGCAGACGACACCACGUCAGCUUCCGACACCGGGGUGGAUGGCACUACCACUGCUGGCCCUAUUUCAGACAGCCCGAUGAAUGACACCACCGCUACCGAACCCAUUGCCUCACCUGAACAGGGUGGUGCUGUACCCGAUAACACCACCUCUGAGACCAGUGCACCAGACGCACCACCAGCGGGUGACACGGGCUCAGCGUCAAACUUCAGCACAUCCAGAGGUGCCGACAGAAGCGACCACAGAAUCUCCACCACCGACGAGCGACGAUAAAGGAAACUCAACAUCGUCUGCAGAGCCUCCAACGGUCGAUGCCGUCACGAACGAGGCUGCGGCCCCUGAAAACGUGACGACGUCACCCACUGAGAGUGUGACGUCACAGGAGACGACUAGCGAACCCGCUGAGACAACAGGUGCCACAGAAACAACGGAAGUCAGCGAGCAGACGACAAGUACAGCGACCACUCAGUCCACAGGCGCCACCACCUCAGAGCCUGGAACGACUUCCGUCCAGACUUUAACCCCUGCUGGAAAAACCACCGCAGCCUCACAGGAUGAAGCGGCAGAAGCGGAGGCAGUCUUCGUCAUCAAGGACGAGAAUGACAAACCUUGUCUUCUGGCCAGCCUUGACUUCACCAUUCGUGUCUUGUACAUCGGAUCAGCAGGGCCAGAACCAGACAUAUGAAGCAUCGCUACCAGACCCUAAGGACGUGACGGUCGCCGGUUCUUGCGGCAAAAGCUCCUCCAGCCUGCAGCUGGCCUGGAACAACACCACCUUCGCUCUCAACCUCGCUUUCGUCCUGUCGGGCCCAGGGAACCGUAGCUCGGGAAGAUGAUGCAUCGCCUGAAGUGACUGAGAACACGAACUACACAUGGAGCUUGAGUGAGAUCUCGCUGACCUAUGACACGUCCGAAGUCAGCGUCUUCCCGGGGGCGUCAGAUCGCAAGGUGCAGACAGCCACUGUCCGGGACUUGAACCUGUUCUCCACACCACUGGGGCAGUCGUACGUGUGCCACGAAGCUCAGCUGCUGUCCAUGGAGCUGCAGGGCGCUCGCCUCGAGUUCAACUGGGUGCACCUCAUGCCGUUUGGGGUCAACGGAACCCGCUUCAGCGCUGAGGCAGAAAACUGUCAGGCGGGUGGUGCAAGCGAGUCGGCGCCAGGUCAGCAAGAUGCCUACCUCAUACCUCUCAUCGUCGCCUGCAGCCUCGCUGCCCUCGUUGUCAUCAUCGUCCUGGGCUACGCCAUCAGUCGCUGCGUCACAAGGCAUCAGCGCCAGUCAGAGUACAAACAAAUGCCAUAGAAUACAAGACAUUACUCAGAAUACAAACAAAUGCCGUAGAAUACAAGACAUUAGUCAGAGUACAAACAAAUGCCAUAGAAUACAAGACAUUAGUCAGAGUACAAACAAAUGCCAUAGAAUACAAGACAUUAGUCAGAGUACAAACAAAUGCCAUAGAAUACAAGACAUUAGUCAGAGUACAAACAAAUGCCGUAGAAUACAAGACAUUAGUCAGAGUACAAACAAAUGCCAUAGAAUACAAGACAUUAGUCAGAGUACAAACAAAUGCCGUAGAAUACAAGACAUUAGUCAGAGUACAAACAAAUGCCGUAGAAUACAAGACAUUAGUCAGAGUACAAACAAAUGCCGUAGAAUACAAGACAUUACUCAGAAUACAAACAAAUGCCGUAGAAUACAAGACAUUACUCAGAAUACAAACAAAUGCCAUAGAGGGCAAGGAAUCGAUCAAAAUGCCGUAGAAUGAAACAGUACACCAAGUAAGACCAGCCAUUAAUGAAGAUGCCACAAAGAUGCUCAUAGAGGAAUAAAAUAAGAAACAACAAACUUGUGGAAAUCAAGCCGACAUCCCAUAAUGCACACUUCGUUCACUGACUCUAUGAGAUAAGCAAAAGAGAAAGUCGAAAUACUACAGGCAGAUUGUGGAGACAUGGAUUAUGCAUCAGGUGGAUUAGAAUAUACAGUUAACAUAUUACCUGUUAGGUGACAUUUCCACUGUUGUUACUUUCUGCUUGUAGCUGUAUAUACGAGGUAUUAGAGGGAGCAGAGUUAUGAGUUACUUUCUUGUCAUUCAUUUUUUUAUUGAUACUUCUAGAACAGUUGAUUUUUAACCUAGGUUUCUUCGAGGUAGCAAGAGCAACAUGUCAUUAAUUUUAAAUUCUGAAACCUCUGAAGUUGUCAUCAUUCUUGUCCCUCUGUCGCCCACCCAUCCACCUCUCGGACACCCACCCACGUAUGUCCAUCGUUAGACGAUCUGCUGCGUAACCCAGACUUCGCAAUUCGUCUUCAGACUUCAUGGUGUCUGCUUCUCCACUCAUGCAAUCAUUGACCACUGACAUAUAAUACCCCAUCAUUUCGGGAAGAUUCCUAGGUCCCUCGCUACGACAAUUGAUAUCCCAACUGCCAAAUGAUUAAGACAUGAAAACGCAAAUCUCAUAGAAAUUGUAUUCGAAAUUCCUUAAAAUUUUGAUUGAAGCUAGAAGUGAUAAAUGUUCGGCUAAGAAUGCAGAAACCCAUGUGCACAACAUAUUUGUGUUAAGAGAGAGGAAAGUUUCAAAGUGGUUGAAAUCAGUCUUUGAAGUCGCGCACCAAAAGUAAGUUAUUUAGACAUAUUACUUUCUAAAGUAAGUUAUUUAGACAUACUCACCGUAUAGACGACAACACCACCACCAACAACAACCAAACGACAGCUCAGCAGCAGGACUGCGAGAUAAUGUUGUUACAAGUGCGACUCCUGUCUAGAGGAAAGAUGUCCACAUGUAUCAGGUUGAUACUUUUUUUUAAAGACUUUACAGACUGACCGACGGUGUGACUGAUGUUACCUGUCAUCUGUCAACGAGUACAUUUGCUCCCAUCUUCUUGUUCCUCAUCUACCCCAGUGGAGCAUAGAGCAACAAGACAUUUGCUCCCAUGCAACACCCUGUAUCAUGCAGCCAGUGAGGAACCCAUCCAGUCUUAUUUCACUUGACCUGUUCAAGAAAAAAAUCCACUUCUUGGUUGCUGUUAUUCACACACCUUUGGAUAUCACAGACACUUAAAUAUGGAGAGCGUCAGCUUGAGCAGGUUCAAUGUUUUGCCAUAAAUACAUUUCCACGCAUGUGCCAACUGUUCAUAUUCUACAUUGUACUAUGUACAGUUCUGUUUGUCUUUAUGCUUGCUGCACAAAUAAAUCUUGGCGUGUUUAUCGAGGCCAAAUAUCUUAUUAACUUAAUAGUGUAGUGUAGUACUUAGUGCAGACUCAGCCAUUUCUCUCCUUGUACUCUGUCUUUGAUUUAAAGAACACUUUGACAACUUGUUCAUUUUCCGUUGUAAUGAGAAGAAUUGUACAUGGGUUGUGGUGAAUGUUGACAAAUUUUGUGAAUAUUUUGUAUACUUCGUUGAUGACUUCUUGAAUAAAAUUUAUGAAGUAUUCA